AUAAGUUUUAAUAAAUUUUAAUGAAUUUUAUAAAUUCCAAUGAAAUGGGUCAAUUGAAAGAGAUUUUCAAUAAAAUAUUUCCAUCAGAGAAUACAAAAAAAUAUUCCGGCCAAAAGUAAUUGGUACACAAACCAUUAUGAACGUAUCUUAGGACCCUUUGAAAACUAUGAAUUAUCGCAUCAAGUUGAAAAUACGACUUUAUUCACGGGCAAAGAGCAAAUAAGAAGCCAACAGAAAAUUUGCCUUCAAAAACUAAAAAAAGUUCUCUUUUUUGUGAUAAAUUGGACGAGACUACGAGCGAUGAUAGAAAUUAAUGAUUUUUAAUACAUUUAUUUCUUUUAUUAUUACCAUCAGGCCUUUUUUCAUAUUGGAUAAUAAGUUAAUUGUAAGGCCAUAAUUCACGGUCUUGAAUUGGUUAUGUUCUUAUGUUUAUAAUAUUUAAAUUAGAACUUAGAACUGUAUGUAGGACAAUUAUUAAUAAUAAAACUAUAAAUUUCAGAGAAUACAAAACAAAAAAGGCAAGGCGUAUUUCAUCUCCUUCUUGUACAUAUAUGUCUAAUAAACAAAAUAUACUAAAUACAAA